UACGUAGGGUGCGAGCGUUGUCCGGAAUUAUUGGGCGUAAAGGGCUCGUAGGCGGUCUGUUGCGUCAGGAGUGAAAACUCGGGGCUUAACCCCGAGCCUGCUUCUGAUACGGGCAGACUAGAGGUAUGCAGGGGAGAACGGAAUUCCUGGUGUAGCGGUGAAAUGCGCAGAUAUCAGGAGGAACACCGGUGGCGAAGGCGGCCCUCUGGACGGUGACUGACGCUGAGACGCGAAAGCGUGGGGAGCAAACAGG
rnacentral:rRNA from 1 species